rnacentral:rRNA from 1 species
CAGCAGCCGCGGUAAUACGAAGGGGGCUAGCGUUGUUCGGAAUUACUGGGCGUAAAGCGCACGUAGGCGGACAUUUAAGUCAGGGGUGAAAUCCCGGGGCUCAACCCCGGAACUGCCUUUGAUACUGGGUGUCUAGAGUAUGGAAGAGGUGAGUGGAAUUCCGAGUGUAGAGGUGAAAUUCGUAGAUAUUCGGAGGAACACCAGUGGCGAAGGCGGCUCACUGGUCCAUUACUGACGCUGAGGUGCGAAAGCGUGUGUAGCAAACAGGAUUAGAUACCCCUGUAGUCCCUGUCUCUUAUAC